AUGAAAAACCCUAAUCGUCUCCUCACUCUCUCAGUCUCAUCUCAAGUUCAACUCAUCACUGUCUCUCUCUCUCACUCUCUCGUUUCGUUGUUCUUCAUAUCUGCACCGAUCACUCUCUGACUCUCUCAUUGUUCAUCUCAUCGCACCGAUCAUCGCACCGCCGAUCUACUCACAGUCUCACUCUCUGGUUUUGCAUCUCUGCACCGAUCGACUCACAGUAUGUGCUGGAGGAACUCAAUGUAAAAUCCAUUGUCCCAUGCAAUGAUCCUUUGAAGUAUUCUUCUUUACGUGCUGAGCAAGAAUUCAGUGUAUUAGGCAAACGUCUUGGAAAAUCAAUGCCUGUUGUUGCCAAGGAAGUCAAAGCAAUGUCACAGGAGGAUAUUUUAGCUUUCGAGAAGUCUGGAGAAAUUACUGUUGCUGCACACAGUUUGAAGCUGACUGACAUCAAGG